AGGCCCAUUUUAAGCCCUAACUUACCCGACUACAUUGAAAUUGGAUUAAUCUUUUUUUUUUACCUCCCAUCCAGAUUUCACGGUGGCUGUUUGCAUGAUAGCUAUAUAUUUUGAUGUAUGGUACACGCUCGCUCUCCAUGAUGCACGGAUUGAAUUGAAUUGAAUUAUGCUUCCAUGAUUGUGCUUGAUGUCUUUGUGUUUGAAGAGGUCUGAUAUCAAGCCAUUGCCUUUUUCCUUGAGAAAUCUAAAUGGCUGCCUCCCUCCUAUACAUAAGGUGUUGGAUCUUUCUUGAUGAUUUCUUGUCGAUGAUAUAGAACCGGUGGUUAAACAUUUUUUUUGGGGGGAUAUAUGAUCACUAGCUAGUACCUCCUCGGAUCGGAGUGACUAUAUGUUUUGAUUGGCCAAUUUGGAACGAAGCAAGUGGUUUUUGGUAUCAUAUGUUUUGGAAAGUAAUGUAGUAGGUUAAUGAACAAAAAAGAAUGCGUCCUUUAUAGAUUUUCUUUCAAAGCCAGGUACGGCAUUCGGUAGUUUGGUCAACUACUCUAACGCCUUUGGACUAUUUGUGUACUAUACGCUGAUGCUUUUUUAAUGCUCCAGAUGAUCUAUAGCUGAGACAUGCAUGAGAGAAC
rnacentral:lncRNA from 1 species